CAGCACCUCAAGUGGUCAGGAUGAUUAUUGGGCCUAAAGCAUCCGUAGCCGGCGCUGUAAGUUUUCGGUUAAAUCUGUACGCUCAACGUACAGGCUGCCGGGAAUACUGCAGAGCUAGGGAGUGGGAGAGGUAGACGGUACUCGGUAGGAAGGGGUAAAAUCCUUUGAUCUAUUGAUGACCACCUGUGGCGAAGGCGGUCUACCAGAACACGUCCGACGGUGAGGGAUGAAAGCUGGGGGAGCAAACCGGAUUAGAGACCCGAGUAGUC
rnacentral:rRNA from 1 species